CUUGCCGGGUUGCUCACAUCCUGCGCAAUGUUAGCUUCUUCUUUUCUCCCUGUUUCCAAAACAUUUGCAACGCGCGAUGUUGCCAUAAUAGUUACUUUUCCGAGCUUGCGAUGGUAGCCAUAUGCUGCGAUCAAAGUAGUAGGCAACUAUUAAAUUAACCCCAUAACUGGGAACAACAGGACACCACUCGCCGGAUUUAUAGAUAAGGGCAUCCAUCCUCUAGUCAGAGGCGACAUAGGAAAGUUUGGAGCCGGGAAGGUGGGCUGGCAAAGUCAAGACUUGUGACAUCAGAGUGAGGUAGAUUUUGCCAUGUUCUUGGAAAAAGUUCUAUGAGCUAGUGGCUGGACGAAAUUACUGUUAUGGAAUGCUUCUAGUGGCCCUAUUAGCUUUAUUUCCCAUUUGAUUUGGCCA
rnacentral:sRNA from 2 species